rnacentral:sRNA from 1 species
UCAAUAAUAUUAGUCGUACCUUCUUGGGA